AAGGGAGAGGAAUAAGUAGAAAUCUACCCUCGGAUCGGGGAUAGCGGCGGGAAACUGCCGGUAAUACCCGAUAACGUCUUUGGACCAAAGGUGUGAUUCCGUCUGAGGAUGAGUCUACUUCCUAUUAGCUAGUUGGCGGGGUAAUGGCCCACCAAGGCAACGAUGGGUAGCAGGUGUGAGAGCAUGACCUGCCUCAUUGGGACUGAGACACUGCCCAGACACCUACGGGCGGCUGCAGUCGAGAAUCUUCGGCAAUGGACGAAAGUCUGACCGAGCGACGCCGCGUGCGGGAUGAAGGCCUUCGGGUUGUAAACCGCUGUCGGAGGGGAACAAAUGUACGGGGGUACUCCCCUGUAUUUGAGUGAACCUAGGAGGAAGGAGAGGCUAAGCUCGUGCCAGCAGCCGCGGUAAGACGAGCUCUCCGAACGUUAUUCGGUAUCACUGGGCUUAAAGAGUUCGUAGGCGGUCUGGUAGGUGAGGUGUGAAAUCCCCCGGCUCAACCGGGGAACUGCGCUUCAAACCGCCGGACUUGAGGGAGACAGAGGUGGGCGGAACAGAUGGUGGAGCGGUGAAAUGCGUUGA
rnacentral:rRNA from 1 species